UGCAAGUCGAACGAGACCUUCGGGUCUAGUGGCGCACGGGUGCGUAACGCGUAGGCAAUCUACCCGAUACAGGGGAAUAACACGGGGAAACUCGUGCUAAUACCGCGUAAUAAAUGAGAAGGCAUCUUCUUAUUUUAAAAGCUUCGGCGGUAUCGGAAGAGCCUGCGUCCUAUUAGCUAGUUGGUAAGGUAACAGCUUACCAAGGCGACGAUAGGUAGGGGAACUGAGAGGUUGAUCCCCCACACUGGUACUGAGAUACGGACCAGACUCCUACGGGAGGCAGCAGUGAGGAAUAUUGGUCAAUGGACGGAAGUCUGAACCAGCCAUGUCGCGUGUCGGAAGACGGCCCUCUGGGUUGUAAACGGCUUUUCUUUGGGAAGAACACGCUCUUGCGAGAGCAACUGACGGUACCAAAGGAAUAAGCACCGGCUAACUACGUGCCAGCAGCCGCGGUAAUACGUAGGGUGCAAGCGUUGUCCGGAUUUAUUGGGUUUAAAGGGUGCGUAGGCGGCUAUUUAAGUCGUGGGUGAAAGCCCGUCGCUUAGCGACGGAAUUGCCUGCGAUACUGGAUAGCUUGAGUAUCGUUAAGGUUGGCGGAAUGGGAGGUGUAGCGGUGAAAUGCAUAGAUACCUUCCAGAACACCGAUUGCGUAGGCAGCUGACUAGGCGAUAACUGACGCUGAGGCACGAAAGCGUGGGGAGCGAACA
rnacentral:rRNA from 1 species